AACUCCUGGCAAUGGGCAAAGAGACACCUUGGUGGUGGUAGUGUUUUUCUAUCAGCCAAGGGCAGAGCAGAUUGCAGUCCUUUGUUCAUCCUAGCUUGAUGCCUGACUUGGUGGCCAAAGCUGUUUCAUGCCUAGGGCACAUUA
ensembl:snoRNA